rnacentral:lncRNA from 1 species
GUAAAAUAAAGCAUAUAUGAACAAGUUGAAGAAGUUAGUCAUUCACUCAUUCUCGUUCAAAAACGGAGAACCGUGAAAUAAACGGGCCGGAAGAAAGGUCCCGUCCCGUGGAAAUGACUAAUAUAUAUAUAUAUAUGAGUUCCGAGAAAACAAAACCCUAAUCUUAUGCCACUGCCGUCACUCCUCUUCCAAAAUUCAAAUCCUCCCUCACAAUCAGCCCAGAAAUUUGCACCUCUCUGUCUCUCUUCUCGCCGCCGUCCGACACCCN